AUUCUUGUGUUAUAUAAUUUCUUGUUUUAGGACAACUUCACUUCCAUCGGUCCAGUGACUACUUUCAAAAUGAAGUAAGGGUUUUACUCUCAUAGACUGUCAUUUCCCCUGUUUCCCCUCAGUGCUUCAUGUGAUCUUCAUGCUCUCCCUCUUCCUCUGUAUUAUCUGUAAUUUUGUCUGUGCUAUGGAUUCUUGCUAUUUUCACUUGUGUACUGUAUGCAUGACUUUUCACAACAUUUGAACGUUGACAAUUUACUUCACCUUUUUGGCUAGGUGUUUCUCCAUCACAGAGAAUGAAUGAGACCUCUUGUGAAUGGUUUACAUGGGACACGAAAUCCAUAUUCCCAUUUGUAGUUGGCGCUGCCUUCUCAGCAAUUGUCAUCGGCAUUGUACUCUGUAUCUGCCUCUGCUGCAAAAGAAAAGCAAAACGCAAAGAGCUCAAAGCCGGCAUGUACUUUACGAGUGUGUCCAGUGAUGAUUCGAAGGUUGAAGCAGGAUAUGACAAGGUGCCUCUUCAAGGCAUUGUGACCUUCCCAGGAGGAGCUGAAGGAGUGACUAAUGGGGAGAAGACAACCAGCCCAGAGAAAGACGUGGACUACGCUACGAUCAAUUACUCCAUGCUGCAGAAGAGGGACGACACCAGCGUCCUGGGCCAGAAGAAGGACUUGGACACGGAGUAUGCAGAGAUAAAGAAGGAAAAGAAGCCUGAUGAUCAGGCCAGGAAAAAAGAUGAUGAGGACGGGAAGGAGAAGACGGAGGAAGGGAAGAAAGAUCAGGAACCAGUUGCUGAAGAAGGGGGCAGAGCUCAGCAUGAAGAAAAGUCCUCGGUGCCUUUGGUGAAUUAGGCUCUAAAAAGAGAGGGUGUGCAAGCACCAGUAGAAUGGUCAGGACAGAGUUCCACUAAAUGCUGAGAGAUGCGGGCUUAAAUGGUUUGGCAACUUAUCUUAAAACAGACACCACAUCCCGGAAAUUAGAGAAAUAAUGUCAUGUCACAAUGUCAUGCCAUGAACUAAAGCUGUUGCGAUGCCCUUGCAAACACACUCUUCCUGUUUUGUGCAACUCUGUAAUGUUCUCAUAGGUACAGUAACCAUUUUUAAAAAUCAGAUGAUUGGUGUAGGAUUUAGAAGCCCGAAAUAUUUUUUUGCUUGCAGUGUACACUUAUGCAACUUUAGUAAAAACAUGUUCUGCACCUUGUACUUGUCCAGUUUCUGAAAUAAAUGUACCAUUAUGGGCUGUAUCCAAUCUUCUGCCAUGCAUAACUGAGGGUCAAAGGUCAGCAUCAGUGUUGUCCAGAUUUCCAUCAUUUACAUGGUUGUCCAUGGUAGCAAGAACGCAUCUAGCUGGGGCACACUAUGAAUGCAUCCCCAGUUCUUUCAGAACUUGCAGACUUGCAGUUUUCCACCCUAAUGUCACAGAUUACACCAGAAUGCUUCUUGUUUCACUGUGUUCAGUACAGUGCACAUGCUACACAAGUUUUUAAAAGCAUGGGGAUACAUCAAAAUACUGAGUUGGGGUGAUGCAUGCCUCUUUUUACCAUAUGCAUUUAAAUAUGUAUACAG
ensembl:lncRNA